UACGUAGGGGGCAAGCGUUUGUCCGGGAUUUAUUGGGCGUAAAGAGCGUGUAGGCGGCUUUGCAAAGUCCGUUGUGAAAACUCGAGGCUCAACCUCGAGACGCCGGUGGAAACUGCAAAGCUAGAGUCCGGAAGAGGAGAGUGGAAUUCCUGGUGUAGCGGUGAAAUGCGCAGAUAUCAGGAAGAACACCAAUGGCGAAGGCAGCACUCUGGGACGUGACUGACGCUGAGACGCGAAAGCGUGGGGAGCAAACAGG
rnacentral:rRNA from 1 species